GGCUUGCAGAGCCCUGUUUAUGGGGCAAUAAACGAUUUAAAUGACUCUGUUGGAACCCACAGGUCUUCUUGAAAGGCUUAUCACAGGAACUGCUAGUAGGGCUCCAGGAGGUCUGGAGGGUGAGGUUGGGGUGGCUUUUGGUUUCUGCCUGAAGCUGCCGGUUCCCCUCCAUUCGGAACACCAGCCCCUGGAGAGGCUGCCAUGAGAACUAUACCUUGACCUUCCUGGGGUGCUCCAUGCUGACCUUCCUGGGGUGCUCCAUGCUGACCUUCCUGGGGUGCUCCAUGCUGACCUUCCUGGGGUGCUCCAUGCUGACCUUCCUGGGGUGCUCCAUGCUGACCCAGAUGCCCCAGCCACUGAACCCAGGACGAAAGCUGCAGAACUGAACCUGCUCCUCUGCACGAUUACAGCAGCUCCAGAGCUCUUCCAAAUUGUCACCUAGGAUGAAUAUGACAGCAAACAAUGCUUUAAAAAUAACAGAAGCUGAAGGGGUCAUAUAUUCCAUCCCUUGCCUUGAGACAGAACUAUACCAAACCAGAGACCCAUCUGUAAUUAUCUACCAUCUCCUGAGAGGCCUCCGGGGAUCAGGACUCCACAACUCCCUUGGUAACGGGAUCGAGAUCUGGCAGCUAAUAUAUUCCCAGCUCAGAGCUGUUCCUCUCCCUCCUCCUUCUGCAGCCAUUUGAAAGAUGGGAGGAGAAACUUCCCCACACCAUUGAUUUUUCUUUCACUUUUCCUGCAUUAGGAGCCCACUGUGGUUCCUGGUUCUUUGUGUCUAGACUGUGUUUAUAAUUCACAGGUCACUGACCUUUCCUUGUUACUCCAAUGACUGCUGUCUUUGCAGCUCUUCUUCUAUCUGCUUCCCUAGGUUUUCUCCCAUGGACGUUAAGGUUGAGUACUUCCUUUGUCUGGGCAAGGACAGGCAGCUCAUGGCCAAGAGGCAUCCAGAGGGCUAGGAGCCUCCUCUGCUCUGGAUGCUCCUACCCAGCACUACAGAGUAUCCAGAAUCACCAGCCUUAUCAGUGAAGUUGGGGAGACUGGAGUAAAGAAGCAAUUUCAAGCCCUUUGUUUUGCUUUGUAUUAUCUUGUUUUCUCUUUACCACCCUGAGAGUGGUCAUGGUUCCCAUAUUACUGGGGAGACUGAGCUGUUCACAGAGGCCUUCAAGCAGGACCAUGAGAACAGGAAGCAGAAUUUAGGCUGCCUGGGGAAGUCCAGCCAGGCUGUCCUCAAAAAUUUACCAGGCAGCCGCCAAAGAAGAGGGCACUCCAGGCAGAGGCAACUGAAAUAGGGCAUCUGGGAAGAGCAUGAAUGUGGCAGCUUCAUCUUCCUGAGCCUACAAGGGAGGUCCCAUUUAGAUUUAUGAGAAAAUAUCCAUGGUGUCCCCUCUCCACACAGCCCUACUUGCUGGUCUCAACUGCUUCAAGCAUAGGUGGGGAGAUGUCUGUGGAGGGAGGAUCUGGGGUAGAUAUGGCACCAUGGAGUUGAGGGAGUAAAGUCACUGAGGCGCAGUCAUAUGACCUACAUCCUGCUCUACCACCCACACUUCCAUCCCCAUGUUCACCAUACAUGACUUUGAAUGAUAAGGAAGGAAU
rnacentral:lncRNA from 13 species